AUACGACCGUACCGCAAACCGACACUGGUGCGCGAGAUGAGUAUUCUAAGGCGCUUGAGAGAACUCAGGAGAAGGAACUCGGCAAAUUGACACCGUAACUUCGGAAGAAGGUGUGCCCUAUUAGUGUGUAGUGAACAACGAAGCAUGAAUGGGUUGCAAAAAAUCGGUGGCUGCGACUGUUUAUUAAAAACACAGCACUCUGCAAACACGAAAGUGGACGUAUAGGGUGUGACGCCUGCCCGGUGCUGGAAGAUUAAAUGAUGGGGUGCAAGCUCUUGAUUGAAGUCCCAGUAAACGGCGGCCGUAACAAUAACGGUCCUAAGGUAGCGAAAUUCCUUGUCGGGUAAGUUCCGACCUGCACGAAUGGCGUAACGAUGGCCACACUGUCUCCUCCUGAGACUCAGCGAAGUUGAAAUGUUUGUGAUGAUGCAAUCUCCCCGCGGAAAGACGGAAAGACCCCAUGAACCUUUACUGUAGCUUUGUAUUGGACUUUGAACAGAUCUGUGUAGGAUAGGUGGGAGGCUUUGAAGCAGGGUCGCUAGAUCUUGUGGAGCCAACGUUGAAAUACCACCCUGGUGUGUUUGAGGUUCUAACCUAGGUCCAUUAUCUGGAUCGGGGACAGUGCAUGGUAGGCAGUUUGACUGGGGCGGUCUCCUCCCAAAGCGUAACGGAGGAGUUCGAAGGUACGCUAGUUACGGUCGGACAUCGUGACGAUAGUGCAAUGGCAUAAGCGUGCUUAACUGCGAGACUGACAAGUCGAGCAGAUGCGAAAGCAGGACAUAGUGAUCCGGUGGUUCUGUAUGGAAGGGCCAUCGCUCAACGGAUAAAAGGUACUCUGGGGAUAACAGGCUGAUACCGCCCAAGAGUUCAUAUCGACGGCGGUGUUUGGCACCUCGAUGUCGGCUCAUCUCAUCCUGGGGCUGUAGCCGGUCCCAAGGGUAUGGCUGUUCGCCAUUUAAAGAGGUACGUGAGCUGGGUUUAAAACGUCGUGAGACAGUUUGGUCCCUAUCUUCCGUGGGCGCUGCAGAUUUGAGGAAGCCUGCUCCUAGUACGAGAGGACCGGAGUGGACACACCUCUGGUGUAUCGGUUGUCACGCCAGUGGCAUUGCCGAGUAGCUAAGUGUGGAAGAGAUAACCGCUGAAAGCAUCUAAGCGGGAAACUCGUUUCAAGAUGAGAUCUGCCGGGGCCUUGAGCCCCCUAAAGAGUCGUUCAAGACCAGGACGUUGAUAGGUCAGGUGUGGAAGUG
rnacentral:rRNA from 1 species